rnacentral:misc_RNA from 1 species
GAUGAAGAACGUAGCGAAAUGCGAUACGUAAUGUGAAUUGCAGAAUUCAGUGAAUCAUCGAAUCUUUGAACGCAUAUUGCGCUCUCUGGUAUUCCGGAGAGCAUGCUUGUUUGAGUAUCAGUAAACACCUCAACUUCCAUAUCUUUUUUGAAAUGGGAGUUGGACUUGAGUGAUCCCAACGCUUUUCCUCACCGAAAAGUGGCGGGUUACUUGAAAUGCAGGUGCAGCUGGACUUUUCUCUGAGCUAUAAGCAUAUCUAUUUAGUCUGCCAAAAAAACAGAUUAUUACCUUUGCUGCAGCUAACAUAAAGGAGAUUAGUUCUUGUGCUGACUGAUGCAGGAUUCACAAAGACAGGCUUCGGCCGACUUUGUAAACUCGAUCUCAAAUCAAGUAAGACUACCCGCUGAACUUAAGCAUAUCAAUAAGCGGAGGA